AGGAGUCCUCUACUACUGUGAGAGCGAAGAACGAGUCUCCACCAUAACCCCAGACGCCUCUCUCUCUCUCUCUCCACCCCCAUUUUCUCUCUCUACACCUCAAUUCCCUCUCUCUCUUCGCACCGCCGCAAUGUUCUCCGGCGGCUCCGCCUCCAGGUCCCACCAGAGAUCCUCAAUCUCGCCAUUCCGUUCCCGCAAGUCGCCGGCGCCGCCGUCCAAGCCUCCCGUCCGUCCCGCCACGCCUUCCUCUACAUCAUCUUCCUCCUCCCGACCGCCGUCCAAGCCCUCUGCCCCCUCGCCGGCCUCCGCCUCCAGCUUGACCCCGCCCGAUGUCUCCAAGGCUAAAGAGAAUGUCACCGUCACCGUUAGGUUUCGCCCCCUCAGUGCUCGUGAGAUUAACAAAGGAGAUGAGAUUGCUUGGUAUGCUGAUGGUGACUGUACAGUGAGGAAUGAGUUCAACGCUGACAUUGCUUAUGGAUUUGAUAAGGUUUUUGGUCCAGCAACCACGACGCGCCAUGUAUACGAUAUCGCGGCGCAGCAUGUUAUCAGUGGUGUUAUGCAAGGGAUUAAUGGUACUGUAUUUGCAUAUGGUGUUACUAGUAGUGGGAAGACUCAUACAAUGCAUGGGGAGCAGAAGUCACCUGGUAUUAUUCCUCUGGCAGUGAAGGAUGUGUUUGGAAUUAUACAAGAGACACCUGGGCGAGAGUUUCUUCUCCGUGUUUCAUAUCUUGAAAUUUACAAUGAGGUCAUAAACGAUUUACUUGAUUCAACAGGACAGAACCUACGAAUAAGAGAGGAUGCUCAGGGAACUUAUGUUGAAGGAAUCAAAGAGGAAGUUGUUUUGUCUCCUGCUCAUGCUCUUUCCUUAAUAGCAACUGGAGAAGAGCAUAGACACGUUGGUUCUAACAAUUUUAAUCUACUAAGCAGUCGCAGCCAUACUAUCUUCACAUUGACUAUAGAAAGCAGUCCGCGAGGUGAAAAUGGAGAAGAAGAUGUCACCUUGUCCCAGUUGCACUUAAUUGAUCUUGCAGGAUCUGAAAGUUCUAAAACUGAAACGACUGGAUUGAGGAGAAAGGAGGGCUCAUACAUCAAUAAAAGCUUGCUCACGCUAGGCACUGUGAUAUCCAAACUCACAGAUGGGAAGGCAACUCAUAUUCCUUAUCGAGAUUCAAAACUCACCCGUUUGUUGCAGUCCUCCCUCAGCGGUCAUGGUCGUAUAUCUCUCAUUUGCACUCUGACCCCUGCUUCUAGCAAUACUGAGGAGACGCACAACACACUGAAGUUUGCACAUCGGAGCAAGUAUGUGGAAGUAAAAGCUGCCCAAAAUAAGAUUAUCGAUGAAAAGUCUCUUAUCAAAAAGUAUCAAAGGGAAAUUACCAGUUUAAAGGAAGAGCUUCAGCUGUUAAAACGUGGCAUGAUGGAAACACCAAAUGUACCUGCAUCUACACAGGAAGACCUGGUUAAUUUGAAGCUUCAGCUGGAAGCUGGACAGGUGAGAUUGCGGUCAAGAUUGGAAGAGGAGGAAGAAGCCAAGGCAGCUUUAAUGGGAAGAAUACAACGAUUGACUAAACUAAUCUUAGUCUCCACAAAAAAUAACAUACCACAUAGCAUAUCUGAAAGGCCUAGCAAUAGACGGAGGCAUUCAUUUGGGGAAGAUGAGCUAGCAUAUCUGCCUGAUAAAAAAAGGGAAUAUGUGAUUGAUGAUGAUGCUCUAAGUUAUGCUUCCGAGAUUUCAGUCGAAGGAAGAGAUGAGGUCACUAAUCUUGACGAGUUGGUCAAGGAUUACAAACGAAACAGAAGACGUGGAAUGCUUGGAUGGUUUAAACUGAAAAAACCUGAGCUUCUCAUGGGAUUGUCACCAAGUGCUGAUAGUGAGAGCUCUUCUACUAGUGGUUCACCAGCACCUUGUUCAAAGUCUUCUCAAAAUAAAGUCAACUCCAUUGAUUUGAAGGAUGGACGAAGAAAGUCUGUCAGCAGAAGGGGAGAUGAUCAUACCAUCAUUGACUCAUUUCCAGAAAGAACCCAAGCUGGUGAUUUGUUUGGUGCUGCAGUUGGUGGUCGGCAUUUGCCUCCAACUGGAUUCACAAUAACCGAUCAAAUGGAUCUCCUUCGUGAGCAAGUUAAAAUGUUAGCUGGGGAGGUAGCAUUGUGUACAAGUUCUCUGAAAAGAUUGUCCGAGCAAACAGCUACCAACCCAGAAGAUUCAAAACUUAGGGAACAAAUGCAAAAGUUGAAGGAUGAAAUCAGUGAAAAGAAGUUUCAGAUACGUGUUCUUGAGCAACGCAUGAUUGGAUCACUUGAGAUGACUGCGCAUAGGUCUAACAAUAGUGAAAUGUCUCAGGCUUUGUCCAAGCUCACUACUCAGUUAAAUGAGAAAACUUUUGAACUCGAGAUCAAGACAGCAGACAAUAGGAUACUUCAGGAGCAACUACAGAUGAAGAGUUCAGAGAACGCAGAAAUGCAAGAGACAAUUCUGCUGCUAAGGCAACAACUUAGUUCUAAAGAAAAGAACAAUGAUGAAAGAGAUAGGAUCGCUCCAUUUGAAGAAACCUGUGCUGAUGAAAAUACACCGACCAGUGUGAUGAGCUUAAACAGAAUCCUAUCCCUGGAGGACUCCAAACAGUGUAACAAAGAUGCAUACUUUAAAUCACAAAUCCAUGCACAGGCUUCUAAAAUAGAAGAUAUGAAGCAAGAGAGGGUGAUACUGUCUGAAGAACAGGAGGGGCUCGAAGUUCAGAAUCUGAAACUUUCGGAAGAAGCUUCGUAUGCCAAAGAGUUGGCUUCAGCUGCAGCGGUGGAGCUUAGAAACUUGGCUGAAGAAGUAACAAAGCUUUCUUAUGAAAACGCCAAGCUGACUGGUGAUCUUGCUGCCGCAAAAGAGCUUCAGUGCCGAUCAAACUGUUGCCAAAGGUCUACUUCAUAUGAUAUGAAGAAAAAUAGCAGAAAUGGGGCCCGAGCUAAUGGAUUCCAUAAAAAGUCGGAGGAUGUAGUUCUGGUUGAGGAGCUGCAGAAAGAACUUAGUGCAAGAUGUCUAAGAGAAGCUGCUCUAGAGAAAGAACUAUAUGAAAGAGAUCAGUUAGAACAUGAUCUACGGAUUACACUAGAGAAUGUGAAACAACGUGAAGUUGAUUUGGAAAAUGAGCUGGAAAAUAUGCGGAUGGGGGUUGCGAAAUUGAGGAAGUCUGGUAAUAUUGCUGAUGAUGUGUCAAUUCAAGGGGUUCUUGAGUCUGAAAGUUCACAUACGAGACUUAGAGAUGGGAAUGUGCCAUCUAUUGAUCAUUCAUACGCUAUGUUCAAGGACAAUGAAAGCAGUGAAAACUUGAAUGAGAUGGGUACAUUUGAAGAUUUAAGAGCCAGCUAUAUGGAAGAAAAGAGAAGACGCAAAGAGCUGGAGUCCUAUAUUUCCAGGUUCAAGGGUGAAGAUGUUGCUGGUCUUGAUGUCACCACUCUUGAACAGUUGCAGAACCUUCAUGUUGAGGCUAUAACAAAGAUUUGCCAUGCAAAGUGCGCAAAUCGUGUCUUGUAGCAAGCUGAGAGCACUUAUUUAGCGAAAUCCCAGAUUGACGUAGUUAGGUAUUCAGGUAGUCAGCAGAUGUUUAAUGUGCUUUGUACAGUUUGGUAACAGUAACCAGAUCAACUGACUUCCUUCUACUCGAGGAAGCAAUAUUGUAGGUGAUGCAGUUGUCCAGUAACUUAAAAGUUAAAUGGUUACUGAAGAAUAUUAUAUACUAUAUGUUAAUACAUGCAUUCAUCUAUUGGGAUAUAUACCCACUUGCAUUUCCCAGCCUGUAACUUCUAUUACAGGCAACAUACCACGGAUGAGUGGUGCUUCUGCUUAAAAUAGACAAAGCUUCUUUAACACCAAAAAGUUGUAACCAGUAUCUGCUACAUAUAAAUCCAAUAGAUUUCUGCA